UACGUAGGGUGCAAGCGUUGUUCGGAAUUACUGGGCGUAAAGGGCGCGUAGGCGGGCCCGUAUGUCGAUUGUGAAAGCCCAGGGCUUAACCUUGGAAUUGCAGUCGAAACUGCGGGUCUUGAAUGCCUGAGGGGAUGGCGGAAUUCCCGGUGUAGAAGUGAAAUUCGUAGAUAUCGGGAGGAACACCAGUAGCGAAGGCGGCACUCUGGGCCGGUACUGACGCUGAGGAGCGAAAGCGUGGGGAGCGAACAGG
rnacentral:rRNA from 1 species